GAUAAAACAUAAUGCAAAGAAACGUCGAAAGUUCACAUCGGCAAAACAACUGAUGACAAAAUUACAUUUGUUACUACGGAUGUUUACACAAAACUGAUUUCAAUUAAUUAAUUAUAAAUUUUUUAAUGAGCUUAUCUCUUCCUUAUUGAUUAUAUAUAAAGGCUGAUAUUAAUUAUAGUAGAGAUAAUUCAGUAUUUGUAAUAUGGUUCUUUAUUAAAAUGAAUGUGUUUUGGCUUUUUCAGUUCUGUUCGAGUGACACCCAACACUGAAGUUGGCGAAAUUCUACCGGACCGGACCUGCGAGAAUAGGUAGAGAAAAAAUAAUUGGUAUUGACUAAAUUAUUGUUUUCUCAGAUGCCAGUGACUGGUCCUAUCCUAGUUUGCCAGUUUCUGUGAGGAUCCACUUUGUGAUGGAGGAUUCUAGGUUUGUUUUUUGUUAACCCAGGAAUAGGUUCCAGAGCAUAUCAUCUUGCGGAUCCACCUUUAGCCAGUUUAUAGGGCCACUUGACUGACGGAUUUCACAGGAUUCUUUUGCCAGUUUAACCUCUUUUAAGAGUUUCAGUGCACAUUUAAAGCAUGCAUUUCAGCUUGAUUUCAAGGUGUACUUAUGAGUUUGAUUGUAUUUUGGCCUUGCAUAGAACCUAUUCCUUAAGUGGUUGUUGGGUGAUCUGGUCAUUUUGGUACCCUGGGUUAUGUCCCUGAGCAAUUGCUUUGCAUUUAAGUGCAUCUUGAUGAUUCAAUUAUAGACAACAUCAGCUGGGCUGAGGUGGGUGAGGCUUUAACUAAAUAAAAUUUAUAAUUUUGAAACGAGGGUGGUGGAUCUUGUCAGGCUGUCUUUAACUUGAGGUUUACACAGGAGUCUAGAGGAGACAAGACAUGACAAAACUCCAUGCUGUCACCUCAGCCAUGUGACCAGUUGAUAAUGAAACCGGUGUCGACUAGUGCAAGUGAUCUGGUACUGUCCAACUGUUUUUGAAUGAAUAACAAACUUUUUGAAAACACAGCUGAUUGUACAAAACAUUUGUAACAAUUAAAUUUGUAGAAAUACUGAAACUAAAUAUGUCGAGUCCUUUUUAUUCACCUACAAUAAAUAGUUGUGGAGAUGUAAGGUGAUAUCUAAGACAAGCUUAAAUCAUGUCACCAUUAGUCGCCGGGGGACAAGAGCCACUGUGACAAGUCGAGUCACAUCCAGUCACCUGUU
rnacentral:lncRNA from 1 species